GCAACUUCAGUCAACACGUAAAACCAAACAAGACGGAGAAAUAUUCCUCUAGAUUCAUGGUUGAACGCGACGGAAUGAACCAACGGCCACUCAAGUUACUAAGAAAACAGUUUGGAAACGUCCCACCGUCGCUACCCUAUCGGGGCGGAAAGGCUCUCGUUGCACCGCCCGAGAGGUUCCAGGGGUCCUCUGUGGCUACGAAAACUGGUGAGACUAACAACAGACACGUGUGGGUCGAACUAACGGACUUCAGAUGCUCUUCAAAAUGUCCUUCAAAAAAGCCGGGGAACUGGCAUUGUUUGAAGGAUGACGAACCUGUGUUAAUUUCCCAGCUAGGGGUCAUCAAAUGUAAGAGCGGUGAGCAUCAAGGUAAACAACAUCGUCGAAAAAAAAAGUUGUUUGUUUUUUGUUUUAAGUCCAUAUCGGCGGUAUUUUUUCUUAAAUUAUGUGAUGUAUACAUUUGAAUGUAUAUAUUAUUUUUCAGCAGAAUUUCAACGACUUCGAAAGGUGUGUGGAUGAACGAAAAAAAGAUAUAAGCCUCCUGUGGAAUCCCGUGGCACAGUAUUAUUAUUCUGAAGCAAAAUUAUAACUAAGCAUUUAUACACGUAAAUGAAACAAGCUUUAAGCGACUUUUUAAUGAAUACUAAUAAAAAAUGCUAUGUUAUUUAUUAAAAGAUCAUGGCAUUUUAACCGCUAAUAUGCCCCUUAAGACUAACGUUUCAAUCACGUGGUGUUUAUAUCUUAAUGUGCCAAUACAAAAUGCAUACACUAGAGUUAUACGCUCGACAUCCUAUUCAUAUGUGGUCAUAGAGGCUCUUAUUAAAUAUUGUUAGAACGGUUGACUUUGUUUUUUCAAUGAACUUCCAGGGGAUAUUUAACAAAUACACAUACAGAGAAACUUUAGCGGCACCACCAGGAGAUAAAUCUUAAUGUACACUGCGGUCCUUUACUUAUGGAAAAGAACCUUUUGCUAAACAUUUGGACCCAAACAAAUACACUUGACAAAACAAACAAGUACAAUACGAAAGCACAAACAUGAAAUAAACUGUGGUCACCGCAUUGGAACGGUCAAUGCAAAAGAACUGUUGGUUGAAACCGAUUUCUAGGAGCUCCAAACUUUGCACUUGGACCAGCAUUCUUCAUAAAACAUUUAAGUUUUGAAAUAAAUUAAUCCCAUAGCCCUACGAUAGAAAUGAAACGGAUGCCCGAUUACCCCGAUAUGUGUUUGUCAAACUAACGCCGUGAAGUAAUGAAAAUAGCUCUCGGGUAGAUCUACCUAGGUGUCGGGUUGGGUAUCAGUACUCCAUGUUGAGAAUGUGCCAGUGACUUAUGUAAUCGAAUAUAUGCUAAAAUGACUAUAUGUACUUUUUAGAAGAUUUAUCCAUCGUUAACAUGUUUAAAUUUGGCGUAUAAAAUUACUAAUACGCAAGUAAAGGUAUGAAAUAAAGGAUUUUUAGAUUGUAUUGAGAAAUCUGCUUUAUGGGUACUGCUUCUUUCUGUUGAAGUCGACGAGGCAGUACAUUUGUGUAUACAUGUUUUCCACUAAAGUAGUAGUGAGGUUGCAUUCUAAAGAUGCAACUCUUUGAAAAGACCAGAUUUCAGCAGUAGUUAUAUAAUGUAUUCGACGCAUCCCAAAGUGCAUUUAUUUUUAUUAUUUAUUAUUCAAAUAUGAAUGUUAAGGCAAUAACGCGUGUAUAAUUGUAUAUGUUUAUACGAGUAUCCAUAACCUAUUGCACUUGUAAUUGGCAUGUGUUCAAUGUCCUUUCUUUUGCGAACAUCCUUAAGAAGCUGUCAGCGUUUUGAUGUAAAGGUAAAACUUCUUACUACAGGUGACGUACACCAAUGGGGAUGGAAUUGUGGGUCAGAGUACCACAAGGGAAAAUUAUUUUUCCAGUCCGAUAUGGAGGAAUUUACCUGGGCCCUCUCUCAGGCCGUACAGCUAAUUGGGAGAAUGGGCAGCGUAUGGACUAGGGAACUCAUAACUUCAAUCGGAAAGCAGUACGACAGGUCAAACAGCCGAAAUAAUUCCCGAGAAUGUGCCACAGCGAAUCUGUUCCAUACAAAACACUGAAUAACUUUUCAAUUGUUAGGAUAUCAUUUAAGACUAUGUGAUAAUUCUUUUUAUUAACAAACUUGGUCUUUACGACAAGCGUCAUUGUUAGUUGGACAAUGUGUUUAUAUUCAGAUUGUAACAUCUGUUGUAUUUGUUUCGGGGGUUUCUUUUAUGCAUAUAUUUUCAAUAUCGAUUAUAUGUUGAUGUUGUUGUUGUAUUUAGAAUAUUGUCAUUCUAAAAUUUAGGAAUUGAUUUCAAUACAUGACAACUUGCAUGUUUACUUAAGCGUAUUUGUGAUUC